rnacentral:rRNA from 1 species
GGACCGCGGUGGCANACCGAAACGUCUCUCGUANNGGAGUGCAUUUCGAACCCGCGUGUUUCCCGACCGACGCCCGACGGUAUCGAAAUGGCGCGGGGCCGCGACAAUAAAAGUUCGCGUCCGACCCUACGCGAGAGCGAACGGUUCAAUCUCGAUUCUUCGGACCUAGUGCCGGCAUCGGGCCCGUUCGACUGUUGGCGUACGGUGUUCUCGGACAGACCCCGAAUACUACUAAAAUAAUAUAGAACGCCUGUCAGCGACGCUAUAGCUUUGGGUAGUUUCAG